rnacentral:lncRNA from 1 species
CCAACGACUCAUCCUCAUCCAACGAUUCGUCUCUAGGACCUUCCAAUCGGGUGCUAAAUCUCUGACCUGAGUGAGUGAAGGGAGGGAGCAUUUUUAGUUCAAAAAAUUGUUAGAAAUGGUGAGAUAAGAGAAGGAGGGACGCGUGAAGAGGGUUUUUAGACUCACUUGCUCAAAAUCUUGGCGAUUUUGGGAAGGGAUUCAUGCGAUUUGGUGAGGAGGAUGAACAUUGUGCGUUUGGGUUAAGGAUUUAGGUCGCAUGGAUCUCUGUGUAUGUAUCGCGUGUUUUUUGUGCGAACAGGUCGGGUCAUGAGUGGGUUUGGGGGUUGUUGGGUGUGGAUCUGGUGGAUAUUUAAAGACAAAAAGUGUUUGGGCUGAAUUAGUUGUAUAUAUGGCCCAAUUAGGUCCUUUCAGUUUGAGAUUUUCUCUUUUUUUUUAAAAAAAAAAAUUCAAAUUAUUUAAAACCUAAAAAUUCUUUAUUAACCUAAAAAAACUAGUUAGUCAUAAUUAAAUGAUUAAGAGAAAAAGAAUUACUUAAAAUCCAUCUUAAGUGCAAAUUAAGCCAAUUUUGAAUUUCCUUUCCUAAUUGCUAAUUAAUUUCUUAAAAAUGCAAAAUUUCAUCCCAAGUGCACAUGCCUCAUGUAUUUUUGUAUUUUCCUUAUUUAAAGAUGCACAAAAUGCAAAUAAUUAACAAAAUAAUGCCAUGAAAAAUCGAAAUUGUAAAUUAACAAACAAAAUUAGUUUGUUUUGAGUUUAUGUGAGUAAUUCGUAUGGGGAAAAAAUCACGUGCUCACGGCUGCCCCUCUUUGCGCGGAAACCCGAAGAGUUUUGUGCAAAGAUAGGUUAGCAAAUACGAGUGAUUUUUUCCCGUUUGAACCCUCCGUGAGAAGCAUUUUGAAAAGUUUGACUGCACCCUGCUUCAGAGGUUGCCUACAUAUCCUCGGCUGAAGAGGAAUCAGGUUAAUGUAGUUCAGGAGUGUUUGGUAGCUGGGACUACCGAGGCUGUGAUUUUAUUAUUGUUGUUGCUGCUUCUAGACCCCAUUUAUUACACCAUUGUGAAAAAUAAAGAAGCUAGACUAAGCUAUGAACUAUGGAUUACAAGAAAACCUAUCUAUAUCUUCUGACCUGCUCUGAAUCCUUGUUGCCUUGUUGUCUGGCAUUUCUCUUUCUCUAUAUUUGAUGCCGAAUUGCUACUCUUAAUAUGUACCAUGUUUAAAGCAUUCCCCCAUUCUACAGUUGGGCGCCUGGUUUCUUGAACUCGCAAUUUGAAAGAUCUUCCUUGUUCUGCAGGUGGACACCUGAUCAUCAAAACUUGACUUCCGAGGAAUAUUCCCUUGUUCUGCAGGUGGGCGCCUGAUUGUCAAAACUUAAAAAUUGAAAAAUAUUCCCUUGUUCUACAGAUGGGCGCCUGAUAACCAAGAAUUGAAUUUUGAAAAAAUAUUCCCUUGUUCUACAGGUGGGCACCUGAUUACAAAACUUGACUUUGAAACAUAUUCCCUUGUUCUACAGGUGGGUGCCUGAUUGCUAAAACUUGAAAUUUGAAAAAUAUUCUCUUGUUUUACAGGCGGGUGCCUGAUUACUAUAAUUUGAAUUUUUGAAAAAUAUUCCCUUGUUUUACAGGCAGGCGUCUGAUUACUAAUACUUGAAUUUUUGAAAAAUAUUCCCUUGUUCUACAGGUGGUCGCCUAAUUACAAAAACUUGAAUUUUUUAAAAAGAUUCCCUUAUUAUACAGGUUGGAGGCUGAUUACAAAAACUUGAAUUUUUGAAACAGAUUCCCUUGUUCUACAGGUGGGCGCCUGAUUACAAAACAUAAAAUUUUUAAAAAUAUUCCCUUGUUCUUCAGGUGGGCGAUUGAUUGGAAGACUGGUCCUCACCAUUCUCAAAUGCUGACAAUUUCAAGAUUAUGCUGUAUCUCUGAAAAGGUAUUAUUUUCCACCAUGUCUUGCUACGAGUUAUAUCUGCUGGGGAUCUGCUGGUGACUGGUGAUUAAAUUACUUCCCAUUAUCCAGACGGGUCCUGACAACUUUUAAUUUGUUGACAAAAGGUGACAGCCGGGGGUUAGUAUUUAGGGCUAGAUCCCACUAUCCAGAGGGGUCCUGACGACUCUUGUUGACUUUUGCUGGGGAAGUAUCUGAUCUAAGUCCCAUUUUCAAGAGGGUCCUGAUGACUCUUGCUGACUCAACUGGGGAGAUUUGAAAUUUUCCUUCUAAAUCUCAUUUUUCAGGAGGGUCCUGAUGACUUUUCUUGACUCUUAUUGACUCUAGCUGGGGGAGAAUAUUUGCUCUAAGUCCCAUUUUUCAGGAGGGUCCUGAUGACUCUAAUCGACUCUUGUUGACUCUGGCUGGGGAGAUUUUGGCUCUGGGGGAGAACAUUUGCUUUAAGUCCCAUUUUUCAGGAGGCUCCUGAUGACUCUUAUCAACUCUUGUUGACUCUAGCUGGGGAGAUUUUGGCUCUAAGUCCCAUUUUUCAGGAGGGUCCUAAUGACUCUUAUUUACUCUGGUUGGGGAAGUAUUUGGGUUCGACCAUGCCACCCGACUGUUUGUGUUCUAAGCUAAGUCCCAUUUUCCAGGAGGGUCCUGACAACUCUAAUUGAAUCCUACUUCGACAUGCAAGUCAUUUUAUGCCAAAGAAGUUAUCCAAUUCUGCCUUUUCUAAAUUAUUAUGCCAGACGUCCCGGCCUUGUCAUUUGUUAUCCAUGAUUACCUUUUACCUUAAAAUGAGUCCCAUGUUUCAGGAGGGUUUUGAAGGCUCCGACUCAAAUGCCAAUCCAAAUUUUUGAUUGUUUCUACGACUCUUACUGGGAGGUGUUGGAGCUUGUCUAUGUUACUCGCACCUGCUUGAGUUUUAAACUAUGUUCCAUCUCAACUUAUGUGCUUCUUUUAACUCUCAACUGUUCCUAUUAGGGUUUUCUAAUUAAAGUUUGUCCCAUUGAGCUCUUUGCUGGGGAGGGUGUUUAUGACCGACUGUCUCUUUUGAGUUUUAACUGAGUCCCACUUCCAGGUGGGCCCUGAGGUUUCGAUCAUACCUGCCGUGUGCCUGCCUUCUCCUGUGGGCGGCCUCCCCUUUAGGCUUUUCCGAAAUUUUCUGCCCAUGUGUCAAUCAAAUAAAACUUGUCAGUUUGAAAAGUGGUGUUUAGCUUGCGGCAUUCUUGUUGGAAGCGGCCUUCCUACUGCCGUGUUCCGUUGUGUUCCAUUUUCCACGUUGAUGAUGAUUCGCUUGAACUGCUCAGCUAUCCCCUUGAACCUUUAUGGCUUUCCUUUGCACCCUAUAAUUGUGUUACAUUUCUAUCCCUUUUUCCAGAAUCUUUGCGUCUUUCUCAUGAUCUCCAAGUCAAUGUAUCAUGCUUGGCUGACCCUCUGACCUUUGUGUCUUUACAUUUACUUCCCAUCUUGUGUUACACUUCCGCCCCCUUUCCAGAAUUCUUUACGCCCUUCCCCGAUGAUUGAUGGGUUGAGGUGCCAUGCUGGGUCGACCCUUGAACUUUCCAUAUUUGUGUUGUGCCAACUUUAUGUUCCAUCCGAAUCUUUGUGGUUUCAUUUGCAUGCCUUUUCCUGUGUGGUAUUCCUUCAAAUUUGCCGAUUCUUGUCUCUUCCAUCAAAUGCAAUUUUUAUGAAUCCUUCCCUUUGCUGUUCUACACUUGUUAUCUUUGUUACGCCUUUGGGCGUCAUGCACUUUGUCCCUUUGGGAGUUGACAAUCAUCUUUGGAAUUCCUUCCGCUUGCUUAAACAAAAAAAACUCUAUAGAUUCGAGAGAAAGAUGAAAUUCAAAGACUCCAAAUGGUAUUUAGGGUAAAGAAUUCCAGACUCGAUGACUACUGAAAAGAAGGAAGACUUAUCUGAAGAGGAACACCUGGUUUUCAUGAUCAUGACAUGCACUUUGGCCCGGUCGACCCAAUCUGUUUCGAUGACUGCCCUUCUGUUGCCGUGCUUUUGAUGUCAAGACCCUUACAACCCACUUCUUUUGACCAAACCCUAGCUCGACAUGCUCUAUAGUUUUCAUCCAUCAAUAGCCCCUUUCUGAGUUUUGCUUUUGCAUUACCUUCGCCUCACGGUGCCUGUGAAGGUUUUCACCGAUAAGAUUCUCUCAUUUUAUUUUCUCUCAAUCUCUCAUCGCCUUAUGGCGCCCGUGAGGAUUUUCACCAAUAAGACUCUCUCAUUUUAUUAUUUCUCUUGUAUGGCUCAGAGUGUUGUUCCUGACAUGGAUACCCUCUACCUGCUGGACUCGGCAUUUUUGAAGACUAAUUGGAAGGUCUUUCUUUGGACCGUAAUGUAGGAUUUUGGACAGGGUUAUAAGAAAAGGGCAAAGGCUCAAAAUAACUCAAAUGGGUUAAGUUAAAACUUUCGGAAUCACAUUCUUAUAACAAACACAACUUUUGCCCUAGUUCCUUGCUUGGGGACUUUUUGAAUUUUAUUUUGAUGUGACCGAACCGUGAGGCUUCCUACGUAUCCUUUAAAAGGGAUCGGGUCAAACGUAGUUCAUAACGAUUCCCUAUUUUUGUUGUUGUUUUCCUUCUCCUUUUCUCUGUUUUCUUCUCUCCUUUUCCUUUCUUUUCUUUUCUUUACCUUUCUUUCUUUUCCUUUUCUUUUUUUCCUUUUCUCUUUCUUUUCUUGUUUUUCCUUUCUAUUUUUCUUUUUUAUUAUUACUAUUAUUUUUCAUUCUUUUCAUUCUUCCCUUUCUUUUCCUUUUACUGCCUUCUCACACUCGUGUUUCUAACUUUUGUUAGUGAUUCCGAAAGAGGGGUAUGAAAGAUAAUAAUUAAAGCUCAAAAAGGUUAGCAAAGGAUAAAGUGUUUGGAUAGUAGAACAAAAUUCCUUCGUCAUUUAAAAUCUUCAAAAUAUGGCAAGUACAAUCAAGUGUCAACUAUAGACAAUGAUAUGAAGAAAAUCAUACAUAAUCUUUUGACAACAUCUGCGUUGAUAGCCAUUUCCGCACAUUUCCCUUCCACGUCCGUCAGAUACAAUGCUCCGUUGGAAAAUACUCUUGAUACAAUGAAUGGUCCUUGCCAGUUUGGAGCGAACUUGCCUUUCGCCUCGGCCUGGUGAGGGUGGAUGCGCUUUAGUACCAGUUGACCUACUUUAAACUUUCUUGGGCGCACCUUCUUAUUAUAUGCCCUAGCCAUUCUCUGUUGAUACAACUGGCCAUGAUAGACUGCCGCCAAUCUUUGCUCGUCAAUCAAACUCAAAUGUUUAGACGAGCUUUGAUCCAUUCUUCGUCGUCGAAUCCUGCUUCGACCACGAAGAGAGGGGAUUUCAACCUCGGCCAGGAUCACCGCCUCUGUGCCAUAUAUCAAUAAGUAUGGAGUAGCCCCCACUGAAUUGCGGACAGUAGUGCGAUAGCCUAACAAUGCAAAAGGCAGCUUCUCAUGCCACUGCUUGGAUCCUUCCACCAUUUUCCUAAGUAUCUUCAUUAUGUUCUUAUUUGCUGCCUCAACUGCUGUAUUCACCUUGGGGCGGUAUGGGGUAGAGUUUCGUUGUGCAAUCCUGAACUGCUGACAUACCUCUCUCAUUAGGUGAUUGUAGAGAUUUGCCCCAUUAUCAGUGAUGAGUGUUUUGGGGAUCCCGAACCGACAAAUAAUGUUUGUGUGCACAAUAUCGACCACGACCUUCUUGGUCACCGCUUUGAAGGUUUUGGCUUCAACCCACUAGGUGAAAUAGUCAAUAGCAACCAGGAUAAAUCGUUGUCCAUUAGAAGUUGCUGGCUCGAUGGGUCCGGUGACAUCCAUUCCCUAAGCGACGAAAGGCCAAGGUGCAGAUAUCGUGUGCAGUUCAGACGGAGGAGAGUGAAUUAGGUCUCCGUGUAACUGACAUUGGUGGCAUUUGCGCACAAAGCUGAUACAAUCAUGUUCCAUGUUGAGCCAAUAAUACCCUACACGUAGAAUCUUUUUUGCCAAGAUAUAUCCGCUCAUGUGCGGCCCACAAAUGCCAGCAUGCACCACAUUCAUGAUGACCGUCGCUUGUCGAGCAUCUACGCAUCUUAAUAAACCCAGAUCUCGCAUUCUCUUGUAUAAUACCCCUCCACUGUUGAAGAACCCACUUGACAAACGACGGAUUGUUCUCUUCUGGUCACUCGUGGCUUGCGUCGGGUACAUACCUUUCCUGAUAUAUUCCUUGAUGUCGUGGAACCAAGGCUCGCCGUCAAGCUCUUCUUCCACCAUGUUGCAAUAAGCAUGUUGGUCAUGGACCCGGAUAUGUAUUGGGUCAACAUAAGCCUUGUUCGGGUGAUGUAACAUUGACGCCAAAGUAGCUAGGGCAUCGGCAACCUCAUUGUGAGUUCUGGAAAUGUGACUGAACUCUACAAACCAAAAUCGUUGACAAAGAUCAUGCAAGCAUUGCUGUUAAGGUAUGAUUUUUAAAUCUCUUGUCUCCCAUUCCCCUUAGAUUUGGUGUACCAGAAGGUCUGAGUCCCCUAAGACCAAGACUUCCUGGAUUUUUCAUCUAUGGGAUUCUCUGCUAAAUUGUCUACCAAUGUCUAUGCCUACAUAGCAGUCCUAGUUAUGUAGAUGAUGUCGAAUUCAGUAAGCAAGAUCUUCCAUUUCGCGAGCCUCCCUGUGGGCAUGGGCUUCUAGAAAAUGUACUUCAAUGGGUCUAAUCAUGAGAUGAGAUAAGUGGUGUAUGAUGACAAAUAAUGCUUCAACUUAUGGGCUGCCCAUUUCAAGGCACAACAUGUCCUUUCAAGAGGAGUGUACUUAACCUCAUAGGUCAUAAAUUUCUUGCUGAGGUAGUAUAUGUCUUGCUUUUUUCUCCCAGUAACAUCGUGGUGACCCAACACGCACCCAAAUGAAUUGUCUAGGACAUUCAAAAAUAAGAUCAGAGGCCUCCCUGGUUCUGGCGGGACCAGUAUUGGUAGGUUUAACAGAUAUCCCAUUAUCUUAUCAAAAUGGGCUCGCAGAUGGUUGUGAGCUGGGAGAUGAAUCGACUGAUGUAAUUCAGCCUUCCCAAUAGACUCAUUAUUUCAUGUUCUGUUUCUGGGUGGCGGCAAUUCCUCUAUAGCUUUCAUUUUUGAUGGGUCUAGCUCGAUGCCUCGGCGGCUGACUAUGAACCCUAACAACUUUCCCGAGGGAACCCCAAAUGCANNNNNNNNNNNNNNNNNNNNNNNNNNNNNNNNNNNNNNNNNNNNNNNNNNNNNNNNNNNNNNNNNNNNNNNNNNNNNNNNNNNNNNNNNNNNNNNNNNNNNNNNNNNNNNNNNNNNNNNNNNNNNNNACAGAGCUUCUGGAAGAAUUUCCUCAGAUCUUUGACAUGAUCGGAUUGCUUUCUGGACUUCACAAUCAUAUCGUCCACAUAGACCUCGAUUUCUUUAUGCAUCAUAUCAUGGAAAAUGGUUGUCAUUGCCCUUAUGUAUGUUGCCCCAGCGUUUUUCAAACCAAAAGGCAUGACCCUAUAGCAGUAUGUCCCUCACGGUGUGAUAACUGUUGUUUUCUCCGUGCUUCUUUAUCCAUUAAGAUAUGAUGGUAGCGUUGCCCCGUUGUUUUUCAAACUGAAAGGCAUGACCCUAUAGCAGUAUGUCCCCACGAUGUGAUAAAUGCUGUCUUCUCGGCAUCUUCUUCGACCAUUAAAAUCGGUGAUAGCCUACAUAACAAUCCACGAAUGACCCAAUCUCACGCUUCCCACAAUUGUCAAUCAAUAUGUGGAUGUUUGGCAGGGGGAAGUUGUCUUUUGGACUUGAUUUGUUGAGGUCACGGUAAUCAAUGCACACUCUGGUUUUGCCAUCCUUCUUUGGUACAUACACGGCAUUAGCUAACCAGGUGGGAUAUUGUGUGACUCGGAUAACUUUCUCCUCAAACUGCUUGGUCACCUCUUCUUUGAUUUUCACGCUUACAUCAGUUUUAAACUUCCUCAACUUUUGUUUGACGGGAAUGCAGGCUGGGUCAGUAGGUAACUUGUGGAUUACCAAAUCAUUGCUCAAUCCAGGCAUGUCGUCGUAGUACCAUGCAAAGACUUCCUUGUACUCCAGCAAUACUUUGAUUAUUUCCUCCCUAAGCUAUGGCUCCAGAUAGACACUUAUUUUUGUUUCUCUGAUAUUAUCCAGGCUUCCUAGAUUUAUUGCCUCUGUAUCAUUCAGGUUUGGUUUGGGUUUCUCUUCGAAUUGUGUCAUCUCUUUGCUAAUCCCAUCCCAUGCCCCUUCCUCAUCGUACCCUGGUUCAACCUCGUGUUCUAUUUCCUGAAUUAUUAUUUUUGGACUAGGCUUGUUGCAAAGAUUGGGCCGAGGAGUUCUUAUGCAUGUCAGAUCACUGGAACCAGCAUAAAAAUAGCUGUACAAAAGAGAAAAGGAAGACAAAGUAGAGUGAAAAUUGAAACUAUCAGCAUUGUUGAAAGGGAAAUUGCAUUUCAUUAGAAUCAAAGAUAACAGUGUUUGCACAUCCAAAUAGACGGAAAUAACAACUAAAUGAUGCAAAUACAAACUAGACUAAAAGGAAAAUCAAAGCCAACUACCAAGACUCUCUCCGAGUGGGAAGAGGAGUGGCUUCCCAGUUAUUGAUUCUUGCAUGUGCCCCCACAAACUGCACAUCUGCCCUGCUCGAUCCUUCUUCUGCCUCUACCAUAUUCACCUCAUUGAAUAGACUUUCUAUCCCCUUAUCAAGAUCUCCGUCCGCAUCGAUCAUCGGGCCGGAAAUCCUAGGUCUGGGGCCAUUACUGGGUUUGACAAAUGAUUUGGAUAAACUUGGGAUAGGCUCCGGGAGAACCCAACCUUUCUGUGUCAGCUUCCUGGCUCGCUUUAUGUCUGUGGCCGUGGGUUUGAACCCUAGACCAAAAGUGUCUAGAUUCUUGGGAAGGGACACUGGUUUCGCAAUGCCUUGCAGAGAAGCUCCCAACCCUUUGCUGGGUAUAAAUCCAUUUCUCAACAUUUCUGAAGCUACCAUUACAGAUGCGGUUGUUAUCCUUGGGGUUACAACAAUCUCACCUUCUGGGAUCUUCUGAACUGACACCGUAUCAAACACCUAUUAAACCCAUGGCCUUUCGUUGUCCAUAGAUUCAAUGAAAGGCACGAUCGCACCAACCCGGGGUACACUGAUUAUCCUCUCCAUACACGACAAUAUCUUGCAUGGCCCACUCAAAUUUGACCAUCUGGUGCAGUGUAAAUGGUACCGCUUUGGCUACAUGAAUCCAGGUCUGCCCAAUAAUAGAUUAUAGGAGACUGAUACAUCAAAUACUUGGAAUUCCAUAAUGAAUUCAACUUUCCCUAUAGUUACUUCCAGCACUAUAUCCUCUACGGUGUCUUUACCUCCGCCGUCGAACCCUCGAACACAGAUGUUAUUCUUGCGGACACUUUCAAUUUCCACCUUCAACUUGGUCAAUGUGUAUAGUGGACAAAUGUUUGCACUGGACCCGUUGUCGACCAAAACUCGAGUGACCAUGGCAUCUUCACACUUCACAGUCAGAUAAAAAGCCCGGUUGUGCUUCGUGCCCUCCAUAGGCAAUUCAUCAUCAGAGAAUGUGACACGAUUUACCUCGAAUAUCUUGUUUGCAAUAUUUUCCAAGUGAUUCACCGUUAUCUUAUCUGGGACAUGAGCUUCAUUCAAAAUCUUCAUCAACGCCCGGCGGUGAUCAUCUGAGUGAAUUAGUAAUGAUAACAAAGAGAUCUGGGCUGGUGUUUUCCUUAACUGUUCUAUGAUGGAGUAAUCCUGCAUUUUCAUUUUCUUCAAGAAUUCUUCUACCUCUUCUUCUGAUACACUUUUCUUCACUGGUUCCAGGUUGUCUUUAGAGAUUCUGUCCUUCAUCAUGUAGAUUUAUCCUGUAUUUUCAUUUUCUUCAAAAAUUCUUCCGCCUCUUCUUAUGAUACAACUUUCUUCACUGGUUCUGGGUUAUCUUUAGAGAUUCUACCCUUUCUCAACUCUUCUGGGGCAAAGUACCUUCCUGAUCGANNNNNNNNNNNNNNNNNNNNNNNNNNNNNNNNNNNNNNNNNNNNNNNNNNNNNNNNNNNNNNNNNNNNNNNNNNNNNNNNNNNNNNNNNNNNNNNNNNNNNNNNNNNCAUACUUCCUCUCUAACUUCUUUCCCUUUGUACAUCACUAUUUCUUGUUCAUAUCUCCAAGGAACGACUCUGUUGUUGAUGAUUGGUGGCUGGAUUACUAGCUUCACAAUAACUGGCUCUAUGUGGACACCUUCCACAACCACGACAGACUCUCUAGCCGCCCCUGUACUAUUACCUUUGCCUGUUCUCGCUUUGGCAUGGCCGUACAUGCUGAGCUCCCCUGCACUACGACAAUUUUACUGCUUUCUUUUGCCCUAGUUUCAGCUUCUUGCUGCUUACAACCUUGGUGGGCUCAUUGUCUUUGAUCAUCAUUAGUGUUCGUGAAAACCUUCUAGACUCUCGCCUUCUCUCCUCAAUUUCGAUCAUGUUGGUUUCCAGAUGGGUUGGCAGUGGGUGCUGAUUAAUAUUGGGCACCUCCGAAGUCUGCACCUCAAUCGUGUGAGAGUCAAUAAGUUCUUGGAUGGCGUUCUUUAAUCCCAGCAUUUUUCUGUGUCAUGCCCUGGUGCACUAGAACAGUAUUCAGAGCUAACCGAAUAAUCUAAAUUCUUUGGGGGAGGAUUUGGCAGCUUUGCCUCAAUUGGUCUUAUCAUAUCUAGUUGUCGCAGCCGGUGGAACAGGCUAGUGUAUGAUUCUCCCAGUGGAGUGAAAGUCUUCUUUUUCUGCACCCUCUUAUUUCUCAUGGCCGGAUUGCCUCGGAAGUCGGGCCUCAGGGUUUGGUGGUAAGCUCUUGGAGGCAGGUAUUGAUUUUGUGGAUUUGGGUAAGUGUUUUGAGGGGGUGGCGCACGCUAUUGUAUGUGAGUGGGAGGUUGGGUAUAUGCCUGUGCAUGAUGGAUUGAGAAACGAGGUUCUGGUGGUUGAUAGUAAUGUUGCGGUGGGCCAUAUGGAUGGUGGCGCACGCCAUUGUGUGCGAGUGGGAGGUUGGGUAUAUGACUGUGCAUGAUGGACUGAGAAACAAGGUUCUGGUGGUGGAUAGUAAUGUUGCGGCGGGCCAUAUGGAGUGUGUGGUUAUGUCUGGUGGUGAGGACGUGGCUGACCGUAGUGAGAUAGUGCCCGAGGCCCGAACUAGGUUCUCGAUUCCACUGUUGCUACUUCAUCUUUCUUCGUUUUCCCAAAACUCCCCCAGCUCCACCCUGGAUGGCUUGAGUAGUUGCCUUAAUUGCCGAGUAGCUCAUGAUUUNNNNNNNNNNNNNNNNNNNNNNNNNNNNNNNNNNNNNNNNNNNNNNNNNNNNNNNNNNNNNNNNNNNNNAGUAGUUGCCUUGAUUGCAGAGUAGCUCAUGAUUUUAUUGGAUUUGAGGCCUUCCUCAACCAUACUUCCCAUAUUGACCACUUCGUUGAAAGACUUCCCUACCGCUGAUACCAAAUGCCCAAAAUAAGUAGGUUCCAGAGCUUGCAGAAAGUAUUUAACCAUAUUACUCUCCUUCAUGGGAGGAUCAACUCUGGCUGCUUGUUUCCUCCACCUGAAACCGUACUCCUUGAAACUUUCGUUGGGUUUCUUCUCCAGCUUUGUCAGAGAUAGGCGAUUCGGGACAAUCUCGAGAUUAUAUUGAAAGUGGCAUGCAAAUGCUCGCACUAAGUCGUCCCAGUAUACCACUCUAUUGCUAACGAUUCCUGCCUUGGUUGAUGAUGAAUUACCUUACUCCCUUUCUCCGAGUUGAGGACAUUCAUUGGCUGCGGUGCCAGUUACACGAUCGAACAUCAGGCAGUCACUUCACUAACAACUAGAAUGAUAAUACUCUAACGAUUCCUGCCUUGGUUGAUGAUGAAUUACCUUACUCCCUUUCUCCGAGUUGAGGACAUUCAUUGGCUGCGGUGCCAGUUACACGAUCGAACAUCAAAUCCAUUCAAACUCUGGCUAAAGUACGCCAUUAGCAAUUUGUCUUUCCUCCUGCUCCCCUUAUUUUACUGCAAAACCCUCUCAAAUGUGCGACAUGAUCGCCAUGACCAUCAUAUAGGUCAAAUUUAGGCAUUUUGAAACCUGGAGGCAACUGUACGUCUGGGAAUAAGCAAAGAUCUUUAAAGGCCAUGCUCGCCUGGUCACCUAAUCCACGCAUGUCCCUGAAGGAUUGUUCCAGACUCCGGACCUUUAUGAGCAUUUCUUCCUGUUCAGAAUCUGUGAUCAGCUUUUCAACUCUCAUUGCGAUUUCAGGAUGAGGAGCAUAAGAGUAAGGCUCCCGAGCUUUGUAGGUGGGUUCUGGGGGAUAAUAUUGAGGGUCAUAGACUUGAAGCAGUGGUUCUCUGGAUAACCUAUGUAGGGCAGGGGCGGAGGUGCCACAUAGAUAGGAGCAAUUAGCGGGGGAGGGUGAGGAGUGACUUUGGGUAGUUUGGGUGGUGGCUGGGAGGCAGCACCCUGAUGCUGUGAGUAUAUAGGAAAACUUGGAGGCGGAUUAGUAACGGACUGGUCAGGUUCCUGGGCCAGUGGCGGGAUGAAGGGUGGAUUGGCAGGAUGUGUCGGGGGCUCCUGUCCGCUUGCCCAUGCCUGAUUCAUCUCAGCCAUUUGGUGUUUAAGCUUAUACAUUUCGUCCUUCAUAGCAUUAACGUCCAAUUCCUCUGCCUGCUUCGAGGGGUCCAUAAUGCUGACAUCAGCUUCUUGGUUGGCCAUGACUCGUUUGCUUUUUGACCGCGUGUUGUACGAGUGAGUUGCCAGGAUGCCAGGAGUACUAGCCACCUGUCUAAUUUGGAAAUAAAAUUCACAACACCAAAGACUCGUUAGUGGUUAGGUUCCAACAUGUAAGCGGCCACAUAUGCAUGCACAUAAAUGACAAUUGUUCCCUAUAUGCAUUGACUGCUUGCGUCAUCCCGACUUUUAUCCGCAAAACUCCCUUUUGUUUUAACCCUAUUCUCUCCCUUUUCAUGUUUAUUCGAUUUCCAAUUUUAUUCAAUUAUGGUCGAAUCCUAUGUAGAUUGCCUACGUAUCAUGUCCCCGCAUGAAUCAGACCGGGCGUAGUUCUUGCAAACAAAAGCGGAACAUAACAUAUUUGGGAAAUUUUUCUAUAACUAGAGACUGUAAUUACAAAGGCUCAAAAGGUGAGAAAUUAAAUAAAUGCUGAUAAACGAACUACAGACUCGAACAACAACCAACUAUGCAUAAAACAAAUAUAGACUCAGUUAAACUAAAAGACUUUAAAAACUAAUAAAUUGAUAGUGCAAUCUUUUUUAGGAGUACAUUAAUGCCUCAAGUGCUCCUGGGCUCGCGGGGCAUCGUUCGGCCUUGCCGCUGGCUUGCUGGCCAAACUCACUUGGAGGUGGUGGAGAUCUUCCAUCACUUGCCGGAAAAAAGUCAUGGCGGUGACGAAAAACAUGGAUUUUGCCAUAUCGUUGCAAUGGCUGCACCUUGUGGUGAUGUAGUCUGCGAUUGCCCAUACUCUUUCCCCGAUGACACCCUUUUCUUGCAAUAGGCGCCUAAUAUGUUCAGCCCUUGCCUCUAGAGUUAGCUCGGCUACCUGGUUCAGUUCCUGGAAUCGCCUCAAAUCCAUCUCCAACCUUGCUAUUGUUGCGUAACAAUGUUCUCUUUCGGCUUUUAGGUCCCCAACUUGCUUGAUAACUCUCCGCUUUAUCCCGGCAAUCUCAUCAUCAUGCUUUUCCUUCUGUUGCUCAAUGAUGCGGGCCCGUUGCUCCGCAUUUUUAGCCAAAUGUCUUCGGACCCUGGACAACUGACCUUCAGCCUUAUUCAGGUCGAACCCAUAUUCGGUUACCUUUUGCCUCAAACUGUCUAUGACUUUCAUCUUUUGUGCUCCUAGCGGGACUUUCUGCGGCUGCUUUUGUCUUUUGGAUUUGGGCUCGCAGCGUCUCAUUUUCUUUGGUUAAUCUUUCUUUUCUCCCUCGUCCGUUGCGGUCUGCAAACCAUUUUCAAAUUGCAAUUCUCGGACUUGCCUUUCCAAUCUUCCUAUGGUGGCUUUGUACUCACUUUCCUUGGCUAGCCAAUCACAUUGUUCCUGUGACGUUUUAAUGAACUACUGGAGGUGAGGCCUUUUGGGCGGCCUCUCAAACUCAAUUUCCCUCCUGUACCAGGCAAGGUAUCCUGGUGACACUUCACCUCUGGACCGAUCCUAUACGCAUGUGUCAGCGGUUAGGUAUUGGCAUUCAUUCGAGAUCUUGUGGACCAUUGCUUCGGGGAACUGACCAUCGGGCCCAAUCUCAACUACUCGGAUGCUGAGAUCAUCGUCUUUCAGCACUAUCUGGCAUCUUCCGAGUUGUCUCAAGACCCGAUGCGGGGCAUAAGGCCGGAUACUCCUAAGACCCAUAAAGAAUAAAUGUGGUUCUGUUGCCGGCAUGUACACGAUCUCAUCCACAGACAACCAUCCUAGUGUCCAUUCUAUUUGACUGGCAUUGAGGGACUGGAGGUAAGAAGUCCAUUUUGCCGCACCUUCGGGUAAGCUAUGCUUUUCAAUUCUCGUGUGAAACUCCUCUAUGCAAGUUUUCUCGGUGGACCCAUAACUCAUGANNNNNNNNNNNNNNNNNNNNNNNNNNNNNNNNNNNNNNNNNNNNNNNNNNNNNNNNNNNNNNNNNNNNNNNNNNNNNNNNNNNNNNNNNNNNNNNNNNNNNNNNNNNNNNNNNNNNNNNNNNNNNNNNNNNNNNNNNNNNNNNNNNNNNNNNNNNNNNNNNNNNNNNNNNNNNNNNNNNNNNNNNNNNNNNNNNNNNNNNNNNNNNNNNNNNNNNNNNNNNNNNNNNNNNNNNNNNNNNNNNNNNNNNNNNNNNNNNNNNNNNNNNNNNNNNNNNNNNNNNNNNNNNNNNNNNNNNNNNNNNNNNNNNNNNNNNNNNNNNNNNNNNNNNNNNNNNNNNNNNNNNNNNNNNNNNNNNNNNNNNNNNNNNNNNNNNNNNNNNNNNNNNNNNNNNNNNNNNNNNNNNNNNNNNNNNNNNNNNNNNNNNNNNNNNNNNNNNUGUAGUUGCAUCAUGUACUACUCUGCUUAUCUUUAAGGUAUCUAAGAAUUUAUGCACCGUUAUCACUCUUGGAGCAACCACAUACCUGUGUCUCAAAGGAAGCUCCCCAGUUCCACUAUCUCCUGUUAUUUCUUCCAACGUUGGAGUGAGUUCAAAGUCUGAAAAGUGAAACACAUUAUGUGUCGGGUCCCAGCAUGUGACUAGUGCUCUUAUGAUGUCUCCUCGGGGUACAAUCUAUAAUAACCCCGGGAGGCCCCCUAAAUACUUCUUUACCUCUCUUGUCCUUCCCUACCUAAAUCGUUCCACCACAAGCGCAACUCCAAAGGGAUUCGGCUCACAAAUGAAAAAGGUCCGGUUUGGGUUGUGCUCAUCCUGCACAUUUAUUAAGGUGAAUUAGUGACGUGUAAAUUUAUUCAUGUUGACUCUUAAAAAAUAAAAGCAAAAAGAAUUUUCUCUUGAAAUUUAUUUUAUAAAACCAUAAGCCCGGUUUUGCGAACACGGCAAAAAAUACAAUAGAGACCAAAAAAUGGCCGUUUGUGCAAAAUUAGCCCUCUGGUGUCCUCUUUGGGAGCAUUUGGCUAUUUGGACAAUAACUGCAUCACCCGAUUUAUUUAAGAAAAUAAAUAAAAAUUAGACAUUUGUUUUUCUUGGUUUUGGUUAUUUUUGCAAAAGGGAAGUUGGACUCGAAGGGGGGUUGCCUACGUAUCCCACCCUUGGUGAGAAUGAAACCAGCGUAGUUCGGGCAAAACAAUUUGUCAAAACCAAAAACUUUGUUGAAAAGCCUCUUUUCCUUUUAUCUACUCCUUUUUCUUUUUUUUCCUAAAAAUUUCGGCAGCAUUUCGGCGCUACUUGGGCAUUGGUUUUACAAAAGAUUAAUCUCAGUCAGCCAUGGUACCACUUAUUUUCUAGAUCGUUUUUUUUUUUGUGCAAGCCGGUCAACAUGCAAAUCCAAAACAGCUAAGUACAAGUCGCAUGUAAUAUGCAUCAGGAUGGUCUUUGUAUUUUUGGUCACCUGUCCUAGACGGACCCAACCCCUGUGUUGAGUCCCCUAAGUCAAAUGGAUGAUGUAGAUAAGCGUUCCUACUAGGGAUCCGGCAUGAGUUUUUGUUAUACUAAGUUCUGCGCCUGGGUAUUUGUUCUAGUCUAUUUACCCGAGCGGACAACUCGAGUCGAGGAGGGGGACUACGUACCGGGGACCUGCAAGUUCGUCCGGCUUUGUAACUUGUCCGAGCCUCCUUUUUAUUUUGAGGUAUGACACUAAAAAAAUAGGGAGUCUCGACAAGCGAGCACAUCCCCGAAUAUAAAGAGAGAAAGGGUUUCAUAACAGUUCAUAUACAAUUCAAAUAAUAUCAAAGCGGUAAAAGCAUCAUUUUUCACAUUAAGUCAACAUGUAAAAUCAAAUAAUAUACAAAGCCAAAUAAAAAUAUUAUUCUAAGCUCGAAUUCUUGAACCCUUAAUUAGAGAUUCUGGGUUCGACUCCCCAGUAGAGUCGCCAGAGCUGUCACACAUCCUUUUGGCUACUACGACCUGACGAAGGGUGCAGAUAAGGGAAUUUUUUCCAAUUAAAGGAAAAUCGAAACGAGAUUCAACUAAAGAGAAUUUUCGGAUUCGCCACUUGGGAGAUUUACGGUGUCCCAAGUCACCGGUUAGAAUCCCGCAUCGAUGAAAAGAAUGACUAUGUUUACAGUCCGCGAACCAGAAAUUCGAGUAAGGAAUUCUUUUAAUCCGGAGAAGGUGUUAGGCAUUAUAGGGUUCUGUGGUUCUAGCACGGUCGCUCAACUGUUAUAUUUGGCUUACAUUAUCUGAUUUUAGAACAUAUUUUAAUUUAUGUGCUUUUUAACAUUAUACUGUUUUUAUCAUUAUUUUAAAGAGGAUGAAAACGUUUUUAAAACAUGCCUCAAACCACGCCACAUAAAUGCACCCGUGGAUUUUGACACAUUCCAACUUCGUUGAGAUUUUGAUUUGGGUCACAUAAAUGUGCACCCGUAUUUAGUAAAGUGAAUUAUUUAACUAGCGCGCCUAAAAUGAAUAUGCAUUUUCAAGUUUACGAGGGCCAUGAAAAAUUUAACUAAUGACACACCUCGAUUCUAAUUACAAAGAACGUUCAUUUUGCAAAUUCCAUCAGGUCACUACAGAUUUGGCACGGGCCACUAACUUACCAACUUAAUUAACCUAACAAUUUAAUAUAUUCAUUAAGCUAAUCAUUGAAAUAUUUAUACAACGAAAUCCAAUUGAAGUAAGUCUUCCAAAAGCUAACGUAACUAAGAGAGUAAAAUAAAAAAAAUAAAAUAAAACAAAAUAAACAUGAAAAUUGUAUGUACUUCAAGGAUAAGGAAAUGAAAGAUGAAAGCUACUGUAACAGGACAAUAAAAUCGAUAAGAAAACAAACAAUAAGAUAAAGAAUAUCAAAGCAGUCUAAACACUUUGGCAUAAGGAUGGAGAGGGCUGUUAGUUGAUGACUAAAUCACCAGCUACAUCAGCAGGCAAACAAGCAAUGCCAUGAGUCUAAACACUUUGGCAGAAGGAUGGAGAGGGCUGUUAGUUGAUGACAAAAUCACCAGCUACAUCAGCAGGCAAACAAGUAAUGCCAUGAUACAGCUUCAUUAAGACUGAAUAGGAAGCAACUCAGAGAAUAAAAUAGCUGACAGCUUUACAAACACCAAACUUAACAGCAGUGUUGCGAAGUUAAGACGACGAUAGAUCUAAUAACUAAUGAUUUAGCUGACACCUUUACAAACACCAAACUUAACAGCAGUUUUGCGAAGUUAAGAUGAUGAUAGAUCUAAUAGCUAAUGAUUCAAACGAUUUCCAACACAAAAAAACAAACUACUCAUACACAGGCAACCCAAUAUUACUGAAUGAAAUCACUGAUAAUCACCUAUUUUUUAACUGUUAUGGAAUGAUACAGUUAAAUUCAGGCUCCUGUUAUUACAGAGUGAUCAUGACCUAGCGAGAAACCACUGAUAUUUGGUCAAAUCAGUAGCCUAUCUCGACUGAACACCAAAAUUAACAAUGAGGAAACAGGCGAUUUCCAACACAAAAAACAAACUACACAUACACAGGCAGCCAAAUAUUACGGAAUGAAAUCACUGAUCAUCACCUAUUUAAUGUAUUGUUACGGAAUGAUACAGUUUAUCAGUUUAUUUAGGCUCAAAAUACUGAUCAUCACCUAUUUAAUGCAUUGUUAUGGAAUGAUACAGUUUAUCAGUUUAUUUAGGCUUACGGAGGGAUCAUUGUAUAACGAGAAACCACUUUGAUGAAGGAAAAGAAAAUAAAGUGACCCCUAUUUCACUACAUUGGACGAACUUUUAAUACCACACUGUUCCAACUUACUUUCUUCACACAUUCAAUAGAGUGUUUCACUGUCAUGGAGUAAAAAUUGAAUACAAAAUCAAGCCAUUACUAUGAAAGAACCAGACUAAUAGAACACUCCACGACACCAGAUUUGCAACAUCAGCAGGGGAUCCAUUUCGAAGCAAGUAUGAGCUGAGGAUAACACUAAAACAUUCUUCAAAAUCAAUACAAACACGAAUACGAUAUUGAAACCACACAAAUUUUACUCCUCAUAUAUUCAGAAGCUGACUCACUACACAUGAAUUCAUGGAGAACAUUGAAAGCAUAACAAUAAAUGAAGUCGAGGGUAACCAUACAAGCCUCAUCUAUUUUUGUUUAACAUUCCAUGAAUUCAUGGAGAACAUUGAAAGCAUAACAAUAAAUGAAGUCGAGGGUAACCAUACGAGCCUCGUCUAUUAUCACGACUGAAUCCAUUUUAAUAAUCCUUCCAGGUCCAUCCAGGACUCAUUCACAACAGAAAUAAUAGAAGGAGAGAGAUAAACCUGAAAAAAAUGCAAGAGAAUCUCAGCACUUGAAAUCGAUUCAAUUCAACAUCGGCCACAUAUCGAUGCCUCGAUCAGCAACAAAUUCCAAUAACUUUUAAGACGGAAUAUAUGUAUUUCAAAACGGGUGAACAGUGAAUCGAACAACAAAAUUCACAAGACUUCAAACAGUUUUUUGUAUAUGUGUUUUUUAGAAUCAACAUCGCGAAUAAAAAAACAGAAUGAAUGUGAAGAACACUAGCUAUAGAAUUUUACUACUCUUCUAUUUGCCCUUCAGGUCCUCUCUCUCCAAAAUAAAACCCCCGUAUGUAAAAUCCAAUCCUGUACUUUAUAGAGACGAACCCCUAAUGAAAAUGGGGCUUGGAUUGAACGAAGUCAAUCCAACGACUCAUCCUCAUCCAACGAUUCGUCUCUAGGACCUUCCAAUCGCGUGCUAAAUCUCUGAGUUGAGAGAGUGAAGGGAGGAAGCAUUUUUAGUGUCAGAAAUCGUUAGAAAUGAAAUCGCGUGCUAAAUCUCUGACCUGAGCGAGUGAAGGGAGGGAGAAUUUUUAGUUCCAGAAAUCAUUAGAAAUGGUGAUAUAAGAGAAGUAGGGACGCGUGAGGAGGGUAUUGAGACUCACUCGCUCAAAAUCUUGGCAAUUUUGGGAAGGGAUUCGUGCGAUUUGGUGAGGAGGAUGAAUAGUGUGUGUUUGGGUUAGGGAUUUAGGUUGUAUGGAUCUCUGUGUAUGUAUCGCGUGUUUUUUGUGCGAAUGGGUUAGGUCAUGGGCGGGUUUGGGGGUUAUUGGAU